rnacentral:rRNA from 1 species
UACGAAGGGGGCUAGCGUUGUCCGGAAUUAUUGGGCGUAAAGAGCUCGUAGGCGGUGUGUCGCGUCGGCCGUGAAAACCUGGGGCUCAACUCUGGGCGUGCGGUCGAUACGGGCAUCACUUGAGUUCGGCAGGGGAGACUGGAAUUCCUGGUGUAGCGGUGAAAUGCGCAGAUAUCAGGAGGAACACCGGUGGCGAAGGCGGGUCUCUGGGCCGAUACUGACGCUGAGGAGCGAAAGCAUGGGUAGCGAACAGG